rnacentral:rRNA from 1 species
GACGAACGCUGGCGGCGUGCCUAAUACAUGCCAGUAGAACGCACAGUUUAUACCGUAGCUUGCUACACCGUAGACUGUGAGUUGCGAACGGGUGAGUAACGCGUAGGUAACCUGCCUGGUAGCGGGGGAUAACUAUUGGAAACGAUAGCUAAUACCGCAUAAUAUUAAUUAUUGCAUGAUAAUUAAUUGAAAGGUGCAAUUGCACCACUACCAGAUGGACCUGCGUUGUAUUAGCUAGUAGGUGAGGUAACGGCUCACCUAGGCGACGAUACAUAGCCGACCUGAGAGGGUGAUCGGCCACACUGGGACUGAGACACGGCCCAGACUCCUACGGGAGGCAGCAGUAGGGAAUCUUCGGCAAUGGACGAAAGUCUGACCGAGCAACGCCGCGUGAGUGAAGAAGGUUUUCGGAUCGUAAAGCUCUGUUGUAAGAGAAGAACGGGUGUGAGAGUGGAAAGUUCACACUGUGACGGUAUCUUACCAGAAAGGGACGGCUAACUACGUG